GUGCUUGCAUUGGCAGCAUGUAGACUAAAAUUGGAACCACACAGAGAAGAUUGGCAUGGUCCCUGCACAAGAAUGACACACAGGUCCAGAAGCAUCCCACCUUUUU
ensembl:snRNA U6 U6 spliceosomal RNA